GAUUCCUUUGAUAGAUGCUUUUCGAAAAGUCAACAAGAAACAGAAAAACAAUAUAUUUAACUUCAAUUUUGGGGAACUUUGAUUUCGGUUUUUUAUCGGCUGCCGCAAAAAGAAAAAGGGAGAGGAGCAACUAUUUACAAACAAAUCAUUUGUUUCUUUGAUUACGCAUAAGUUACACGAUGUUCCAACAUGAAGAACAUGGAAGUUUGGAAGAAUAAAAAGAAGGCAACAAGAUGCAUUAUAAUGAUGACUUGCUAGAAGAUAUGGACCUGCAGGAAUGAGAAGAUAUUUAAGGGAGUGAUCUCUACAAAUAUAAAGAUGCUGUAUGAAAUAAAAGAAUGCACAUAUGUUUGGAUUAAAAACAGAGCGAAUAUGGGAGGUAUUACUUUUGAGAAUUGGUGUAAUAAAGGUUUGAAUGCCAUAGAAGGUUAGGUAAUGUGAUGUAUGUUCUUUAUGC